UGCAUAUUGUUUUGAAUCCGAGGCCUAUAAUGACGUGCGCGUACAUAAUAAUCUCUCCGUCCUUCGCGACCCGGCGACGCAACCGGGAAUCCAAAGACGCGGAGGAGGAGGAGGAAUAGAGAGCGCGAUGGGUCUGCAGUUUGUUGGCGAUGGUGUGUUCUUUGCGGAGCUUAGUGACGUCCUCACAAGAACCACUGAGCUGUGGACGGGUACUCCAGAGUUGAGGUCAGCAUCGGUGAUCAUUAUUAGAGCCGCCAGGACCCUGAACGUACUUGAUACCGAUCUCCAAUCUAUGUUAAGCCUUGGUGGUACACCCGAUUUGGACUUCGUAUCAUAACUGUGUAUGGUGAGAAGGGGAGAAGGAUAUUGGAGUUGACUUCUGUGGUCCAUUAAAGAUUCAACUUUUUGGAAAAUGGUGUGGAGCUCUACACCGAAGGUCAACAACAGAGGGCUUUGUGCAAUUGCUUGGGCUAUCUUUCUGGUACAAGCUUCUCGGAGGAGUGUCAUUCCUUCUUAACAUGGAGGAGAAGGGAGCAUAGGAGAGGAGAGCAAAGUGAGAGUGAAGCGCUUAUAUGUAGGGUGUCCUCGAUAUCGAAGUAAAGAUCAUGCUGGACUAGGAUCCUAAAAGAAAGCAGGGCACCAUGACUCCUUUGCCAGAUCAUGUUACAAUUCAUGCCCCAAAGGAGGAAGAGGAGUUACACUCCAGAAGAAUUUGAAUGCUACAACCUUUGCAAAAGGAAUUAGGAUUACAUUUCUUCUUCAUAAGCUUUCGGCAUGUAACAAGUCAAAGUUCUUCUGAUUUAUGCGCUUGAACUAGUUGUAGAUUAACAUGAAGGAAGAUUGGGAGUCCUUAGGCCCAUAUCUUAGUUUGUUCCAAUCUUCUCAGGAGUGUUAUUUGUUCUUAUCAUUUGUUUUGAAAACCGACGCGGUUACUCCCAUAAAUUUUUACUGUUUUGUAGACUUGAUAUUAGUUAUUUGAAUUCGUAUGUAACUUCCAAAGCUGGAAUAGUAGACUCAGAUUGGUUGUUCAAAUUCAUUCAAAAUUCUGAAUAUGUAAUUUAGAUGUAAUUUGACCAUUUUUUCGAGUCAGUAAGAUGAAUGGUAUGUUCUUCUAUCUCAA